GGAUGAUACUAAUAGCGGCUGUAGUGCACUUUGUGGUUUCUACUCUACGUACCAUCCAUGGAAGAAUCUCCGAAGCAGAACAAGCUCCACUGGACCUCGCAACCUCAAUUCUUUCCUCUCCGAUUCUGGGUUUUCCUCCGCCCCUUUCAGGCCAUCGGUUUGUCAAGCUCUCGUCUUCUUCCUUCCGCUUAAUUGAUUUUGCCCAAUUUGCUUCUCUACUCGGUCAUUUGCUUUCAACAGAGUGCAAUGCUGAAUGGGCGCGUAUUGUUCUCAACCUCUGCUCUUUGUAAUCCUAAUGCUAAUCUGGACCAUGGAGCUAAAUCAUCAAUUGCUACUGCGAAAUCAGAGGAGAAACAAGUGACUGGAAAAUUCUCUGUACCCUUGCUACUUACUUUUGGAUUAAAGAUAACUUUGAUAAGGGUCAUCACUGCUCUUGGCUUUCUUGUGGGUGCUAAGGUCUUAAAUGUUCAGGUCUCUUUCUUGUCUAAGCUCGCUGUUGAUUGGUUUACCACUGCUACUGGCAAUGCUACUGCUCUUGCUUCGUUCAGCACUGCUAAUUCUAUUCUUAUUGCAUUCGUUAUGGCAUUGCUCGCUAUGGGGCUUCUGCUUUCAAUGUUUAUAUAUAGAACUGAGAACUGCCCUUGUUUUCUAAGGUAGCUCUGCGAACAAUCUGUCAAGAUUCUAGGAAGUUGAAAAACUGGUGCAUUACACAGAAAUAGAAUAAGUGAUUGUGGUAGCCGAUGGUGUUCAAUGUUGUACCAACUGUCUUAGAGGCAUCCUUUCAGAUAUCUAUGGUAUCAGGUAUGUUGGCAAACCAAUUUGGAGCUCCUUUUGCAUGGAUCACUUUUCUUUCAGUUACUGCAUAUGUUGCUUUCACACUGUCUGUAACACAGGCAACAUAUCUUCUGCCAAUUCUUUAUUACUACAUGUAUACAUAUUCUUAAGAAUAAUUAUGUACAGGUAACAUAUCUUCUGCUUCCUUUAUUUCCUUUCCCUUCAUUUCUUAAGCUAGUAAACUUUCUAUGUUGAUCACCAUUGUAUCAACUUUCCCUUGUCAUUUCUAGUGGUGGACAAAGCUUAUGAAGGCUGUGAAUAAAGCUGACAAUGAUGCCAGUGCAAGGGCAUUUGAUUCCCUCAUCUAUGAUGAGGUGAUAUUGUAAUGUUUCAUUCCUGAAUUCUUUUUUUGUUUUCUACUUUUCAAUUCCUUUGAUUUUAUUUUUUCAAUGUUUUUUGUUGGAUUAUGUACGUUUCAACUCCUUUGAUUUAUUUUUUUAUUUUUGCUUAUCUAUUUUUCAAUUCCAUUUCCCAUCAAAUGUAUUUCAACAAUCAAGCUUUCGAAGCUGACAAACCUGAA
rnacentral:misc_RNA from 1 species